rnacentral:rRNA from 1 species
UACGUAGGGUGCAAGCGUUGUCCGGAAUUAUUGGGCGUAAAGAGCUCGUAGGCGGCCGGUUGCGUCUGCUGUGAAAUCCCGGGGCUUAACCCCGGGCGUGCAGUGGAUACGGGCUGGCUGGAGGCAGGCAGGGGAGAAUGGAAUUCCCGGUGUAGCGGUGAAAUGCGCAGAUAUCGGGAGGAACACCGGUGGCGAAGGCGGUUCUCUGGGCCUGUGCUGACGCUGAGGAGCGAAAGCGUGGGGAGCGAACAGG